rnacentral:rRNA from 1 species
AUCCAGCCAUGCCGCGUGCAGGAAGACGGCCUUAUGGGUUGUAAACUGCUUUUGCAGGGGAAGAAUAAGGACUACGAGUAGUUUGAUGACGGUACUCUGCGAAUAAGCAUCGGCUAACUCCGUGCCAGCAGCCGCGGUAAUACGGAGGAUGCGAGCGUUAUCCGGAAUCAUUGGGUUUAAAGGGUCCGUAGGCGGGCUAAUAAGUCAGAGGUGAAAGCGCUCAGCUCAACUGAGCAACUGCCUUUGAAACUGUUAGUCUUGAAUGGUUGUGAAGUAGUUGGAAUGUGUAGUGUAGCGGUGAAAUGCUUAGAUAUUACACAGAACACCGAUAGCGAAGGCAUAUUACUAACAAUUAAUUGACGCUGAUGGACGAAAGCGUGGGGAGCGAACAGGAUUAGAUACCCUGGUAGUCCACGCUGUAAACGAUGGAUACUAGCUGUUUGGUUGCAAGACUGAGUGGCUAAGCGAAAGUGAUAAGUAUCCCACCUGGGGAGUACGCACGCAAGUGUGAAACUCAAAAGA